AAUUGAAGAGUUUGAUCAUGGCUCAGAUUGAACGCUGGUGGCAGGCCUAACACAUGCAAGUCGAGCGGCAUCGAGUGAUCGCAGUUUACUGAGUUCAUGUCGGCGAGCGGCGGACGGGUGAGUAAAGUCUGGGAAUCUGGCCGAAGGAGGGGGAUAACUGCUGGAAACGGCAGCUAAUACCGCAUGAAGUCGCGAGACCAAAGCGGGGGACCUUCGGGCCUCACGCCUUCGGAUGAGCCCAGAUGAGAUUAGCUGGUAGGUAAGGUAAAGGCUUACCUAGGCGACGAUCUCUAGCGGGUCUGAGAGGAUAGCCCGCCACACUGGAACUGAGACACGGUCCAGACUCCUACGGGAGGCAGCAGUGGGGAAUAUUGCACAAUGGGCGAAAGCCUGAUGCAGCCAUGCCACGUGUGUGAAGAAGGCCUUCGGGUUGUAAAGCACUUUCAGCGAGGAGGAAGCGAUAAAUGCGAAUACCAUUUAUUUUUGACGUUACUCGCAGAAGAAGCACCGGCUAACUCCGUGCCAGCAGCCGCGGUAAUACGGAGGGUGCGAGCGUUAAUCGGAAUAACUGGGCGUAAAGGGCAUGUAGGCGGUGAGUUAAGUCAGAUGUGAAAUCCCCGAGCUCAACUUGGGAAUGGCAUUUGAAACUGGGUCGCUAGAGUUUUCUAGAGGGGGGUAGAAUUCCAGGUGUAGCGGUGAAAUGCGUAGAUAUCUGGAGGAAUACCGGUGGCGAAGGCGGCCCCCUGGAGAAAGACUGACGCUGAGGUGCGAAAGCGUGGGGAGCAAACAGGAUUAGAUACCCUGGUAGUCCACGCUGUAAACGAUGUCGAUUUGGAGGUUGCGGUCUUGAACUGUGGCGUCCGGAGCUAACGCGUUAAAUCGACCGCCUGGGGAGUACGGCCGCAAGGUUAAAACUCAAAUGAAUUGACGGGGGCCCGCACAAGCGGUGGAGCAUGUGGUUUAAUUCGAUGCAACGCGAAGAACCUUACCUACUCUUGACAUCCACGGAAUUGUGCAGAGAUGCGCAAGUGCCUUCGGGAACCGUGAGACAGGUGCUGCAUGGCUGUCGUCAGCUCGUGUUGUGAAAUGUUGGGUUAAGUCCCGCAACGAGCGCAACCCUCGUCCUUUGUUGCCAGCGCGUAGAGGCGGGAACUCAAAGGAGACUGCCGGUGAUAAACCGUAGGAAGGUGGGGACGACGUCAAGUCAUCAUGGCCCUUACGAGUAGGGCUACACACGUGCUACAAUGGCGUAUACAAAGGGAUGCGAACCUGCGAGGGAAAGCGGAACUCAGAAAGUACGUCGUAGUCCGGAUUGGAGUCUGCAACUCGACUCCAUGAAGUCGGAAUCGCUAGUAAUCGUAGAUCAGAAUGCUACGGUGAAUACGUUCCCGGGCCUUGUACACACCGCCCGUCACACCAUGGGAGUGGGUUGCAAAAGAAGUAGGUAGCUUAACCGCAAGGAGGGCGCUUACCACUUUGUGAUUCAUGACUGGGGUGAAGUCGUAACAAGGUAACCGUAGGGGAACCUGCGGUUGGAUCACCUCCUUAACUAUAAA
rnacentral:rRNA from 1 species